GAGGCAGGGUGGUCUCCUGGACUUCACUGAGGAUGCCUCACUCUGCACCCUUUGGAGAGUCUGUCCCAGGUCACUGUCACCCUCCGCACCUUGUGGGAAGCCAGACUGUAUCAGUCAGCUUUUGCUGAGUAACAAGUUGUAGGGAACAGGGGAAGGGGACGUUACCAGAACCUCUGCAGUAAGUCCUAGUCUCCUGCAAGCCACGGCAGCACACGGCGAAUUACAGGAAGGGUAGAAAAAUGAGACUGAGAAGAAGCUGAGCUUUGGGUCUGAUCAGUGCUGCUCUGGGCAGCAAAGACAACCCCCCCCCCCCCCAGCUUGCAGCACCUUUUAUUCAGUACAUGGGGAAACAGAUGUAACAAGUGAAAUGCAGAGUUCAGUACUUCACAUUGGGAUAAACAAGGUGUAACAAAAGACGGGGGCCAGUGGAAAUCUGAGAACAAUGAGGAACUAUGCAGAUGAAGAUUUGGUUCCUCCCUGGCGUCUCCCGCAGGUGUGGUCUUGUCCUGGAGAUUACAGCAUCUGGGGAUCACUGAGGUCUCAGUUGUGACCAGAGGCCAAAAUGCAAUUAUGUCUGUAAUGUCCUAGCUGGGCUGUGGGCAGGAGAACUAGGCCUGCUCAAAUGAUUUUUCCCUAGAAUUACGUAGCAUUGCUCCCAACAACAAGUGACUCUGGAACUCAGUGGUUAACACAGUAGCCGAUUGCUCAGCUCAUGGGGCUGCGUGUGGACUGGUUGCUUCUCUCAUUUGGGCCAGGUGGGAUUCGUGCUGGGGGCUCUGGGAUCUGCAGCCGGACUCAAGCACUGGCUUCAAUGUUGAGCAACUGGGGCUGGUUGGGGCCUCUGGGACCAUCAGGUCAAGCGCACUUGGGUUGUCACCACAUUUAUUUGUGGGGCAUCACAGAACAGAGUCUCUGGUUAGCAGAGCCCUCCAAUGUAGUGGGUUCAGUGCAUGCCGUGGUCCAGUUAUAAGAGGUAGAGUGGGGGGGAGGUGAAAUCACAGCACUGGUACUGGGACAGGGCCGACGUUAGACUCUGGUCCUGACAUCCCCUGUCCCUGGGUUUUCUCCUGGCGGUUCAUUGUGGUUUGCCCCAGAUUCACCUUCCCAGAGCAAUAGAGGGAGUAGAUGCUGCCGUCAGGGACCGUUCGUGGGUCCCUGGGAGCCGGGGCUGGCAGCGGCUCCUUAUUCGGGGUGGCCCUGGACGCAGGUGAAGGCCAGGAGCCGCACCACGAACAGAAAGAGGAGGAGGAGGAGGAGGCAGAGGACGCGGGCAGCCUACUCUCCCCCGGCCGGGUGUGGGGCCGCGCAGUGCAGCCCAGCCUGGCGGGCAGGAGCCAGGCCGAAGGCUCCCGGUGAGCGGCUUUCCCUCGGGGCGGCGGAGCUGUCACGCUGGGGUCAGUGGGUCGGUGGGUCCGUCAGUCAGGACCUCGUCUUUUACCUGCAGUGCGCGGCCCGGCCGGGUGUGACUGAGCCUCUGGGCUUCCGUACCUCUGGUAAAACGCGCUGACACCGAGAGAGAGAGGCCUGGGGGAGCAGCUCCGUGCGGCUCAGCUCGGUUAGCGGGAGAGGCGCCUCCCCCGGCCCCGCGCACCUCCCACUUCCGGAGGCAGCUGGGUUCCGAGUGGCGGCAGCUGAGCUCGCGUCCCUCCCGCCAACCCCCUUCCCCUCUGCCAUGGUGACGGCGCCUCGCCUCUGGCUGCCCUGCACGCUGACCCCCGACGCAGACCAGUGCGGGCCUCCUCCUGACGACAGGGCCGGGUCAGGGCCGCGGCAAAGCGCAGUUCCAGUUCAGCGCCCACUCCGGGUGGCCGCUUCCGGGCAGCCGGAGCAGAGCCCGCCGGCCGCUGCCUUCCAGUAGCUCUCCGCCUCGGACAGCACCGGCUUGAGGAUUCCCAGCAAACCUGGCCGGCAGAGGGUCCCGCAGGUCCUGAGGAGGGCACGGCCACAGGCAGGGAGGGAGCGCGGAGGCCAGGCCCGAUCGUCACUGAGUCACUGAGUGACUACGGGGCCACUGGGGUGUGCCGAGUAGACGGGACUUUCACCUGGGCGUCGCAGUUCAGGAGAAAUUAGCCCAGGCAGUCAUAUCAAUUCCAAGUGCCUCAAGCAGACGCUCAAGUCUCUUACAUACAAAUGUGUACUGGCUGGGCACAGGGCCAUCACGCCAGCACUCCGGAGGCCGAGGCAGGAGGAUCACAAGUUCAAGACCAGCCUUGGCUACAACAGAGAGUUCAAGGCCAUCCUGGACUACACAGCAAGACCCUGUCUGGCAAAACCCAAAGGCAUGUGAUCUGCGCUGGACCUACGCACCUGCCCUCAUAGAAUCACAUCACACUUCCCUCUAGUACUUCUCUCGGCCAGCACAGGGAAAGUUAAAAUUGUGUUGGUGGCUCACCUUAUGUCUCUGUUGGACAGCGCUGUUCUAGACCUGGCCAUUUUGGAGCUCGCGGGUGUCAGGGGGCUGGACACAAUGUAGUCAUUGUCACACAUGAGCCCCAAAAGGCACCAGAGGCAUCAGCAUCAUAGGGGCCACUCUGGAGACAGAGGUGUCUCCUAUUCCACAGUUGUCCCCACUCUGUGGUGGGCACCAAGACGAUGUCUUUCCUCUGCCUCCAUCAUCACCCGGGCCGGAAGCCCUGGGCGACAGCGCUGGAUCCCAAAUGCCUCCCCGGUUCCAGACACUCUGACUGAGAGUCCCUCAUCCACUAGGCCUGGGCCCCAAGGGCUGUGGAUUUCUGAUGUUUCUGGAUUUUGGAAUAUCUGCAUUUAUACCUAACAAGAUGUCUUGGGGAGGGGACUCGAGUCUCAACACAGAACUCACUUCCACUUCAGAUGGGCCCUACGCGUGGCCGAGGUCAUGUCAGAUACUGCUUUAAGCGAUUCUGUGCCUGGAAAAGGUUGUGUGGUGUAGGAUUUCCCAUGGGGGGAGUCAGGGAGGGGCUCUCAGAGUUUCAGAUUUAGGACACUUUGGGUUUGGUUUUCUGGAUUGGGGAUGAUCCUCCUGUACUUCUGUAUCCUGAUGUCACCUGCCAACCUCACAAACAGACCUUGUGUAUCUCCUGUACACAAAAUGCCACCCUAGUGGGAAGGUGGUAGAGAAUAGGAUGUGCCAACAUCCCCUGGGGCCACCACACAGCUCUUGCUGCUCUCUGUGAGCUUUGUUGUUGCAUUAAUUCAUUCAGUCCUGUGUCAGCCUUCUGUCACCAUGACACAUGCCUGGAUGAGCAGCCGAUGAAGAGAAAGGUCUACUUGGCUCACGGUUUUGGGGAGUUCAGUCCAUGACUGAUCAGCCCCGUUGCUUUGCUUCCCAGUUGCGGUGAAGCAGUGCCACCUGGCGGGUGUGGGAGGUGCAGAGCUGCCCACGUCUUGGCCAGUACUAGAGGGGGGAGGAGGAGCCGGGGUCUCACGAUUUCCUUCAGUGACCCCAGUGACCAGCAGGCGUCCCCUAGGCCCCACCUCUCAAAGUUUCCACUGUGUCCCCAUAGCACUGCACCGGAGUCUAAGUCUUUGGGGACAAUGAAGAUCCAACUUUUAGCCAUCUUCAAUGACAACUUCUUGGGGUGGGGAUUAUCAAUUUCCCCAUUUUCCAGAUGAAAAAACAGAAACCAAGAGAAAGUGGCCCAAGAUCACACUGCUGGAAAGGUGCGGAGCCAGGAUUUGAGCCUGGUGGUUUUGAUAAUGAGUCUGUGUUCUAAGUCACAGUUCUUAGGGUCUCUGGCCACGUAGCAGGGGAAGAAGCAUGGCUUCCCACAAUGAUUUGGGAGCAAACUUCUGUUUUUAUCAAAUCCAUAUGCAAUAGCCCAGGUUCUCCCAAGCUUGGUGGCUACAACUGUGCUUUCACUCACUGAUGGGCAGCUCAGGAGGACUUGCUCAUACUGCCCCAGCCCAUCCUUGGCCCCAGUGCCAGGCGUGUGGUGACUAACAUAGCCGAACCAGUAAAUGAGUUUCUUCCUGCUCCACUGGAGUUGAAUACUCCUGUUUGAUCAGGCUGGCCUUGAACUCACUAGGCUGCCACGCUGGCCUCAAACAUGUGGUGAUCCUCCUGCCUCAGCCUCCUGAGUGCUGGGAUCAUGGGUAUGCGCCAUCAUGCCUGGUCUCACAUGGUAGUUUUAGUCUUCCACUUUGCAUUUUAUGUAUCAACACAUGCUUGCGUAAAUAGCAUGUAUUAGGGCAGCGCUAGCUGCAUGAACCGUCUAGC
ensembl:lncRNA